CCUACGGGAGGCAGCAGUGAGGAAUAUUGGUCAAUGGACGCAAGUCUGAACCAGCCAUGCCGCGUGCAGGAAGACGGCUCUAUGAGUUGUAAACUGCUUUUGUACGAGGGUAAAAGCAGAUACGCGUACCUGUCUGAAAGUAUCGUACGAAUAAGGAUCGGCUAACUCCGUGCCAGCAGCCGCGGUAAUACGGAGGAUGCAAGCGUUAUCCGGAUUUAUUGGGUUUAAAGGGUGCGUAGGCGGGCGGUUAAGUUAGAGGUGAAAUCCCGGGGCUCAACUUCGGAAUUGCCUCUGAUACUGGUCGGCUAGAGAGUAGUUGCGGUAGGCGGAAUGUAUGGUGUAGCGGUGAAAUGCUUAGAGAUC
rnacentral:rRNA from 1 species